rnacentral:rRNA from 1 species
GGUUCGAUUCUGGCUCAGAUUGAACGCUGGCUGGAUGCUUUACACAUGCAAGUCGAACGGCAGCACGGACUUCGGUCUGGUGGCGAGUGGCGAACGGGUGAGUAAUGUAUUUUAGAACGUGCCUAGUGUAGUGGGGAUAACUACGCGAAAGCGUAGCUAAUACCGCAUACGCCCUUCGGGGAAAGCGGGGACCUUCUUUCGGGCCUCACCAGUUGAUGGCUGAUAUCGGAUUAGCUAGUUGCGGGGUAACGGCUCACCAAGGCGACGAUCCGUAGCUGGUUUGAGAGGACGACCAGCCACACUGGGACUGAGACACGGCCCAGACUCCUACGGGAGGCAGCAGGGGGAAUUUUGCACAAUGGGGAAACCCUGAUCCAGCCAUCCCGCGUGUGCGAUGAAGGCCUUCGCUGUAAAGCACUUUGGCAGGAAAGAAACGGCACGGGAUAAUACCCCGUGCAACUGACGGUACCUGCAGAAUAAGCACCGGCUAACUACGCCAGCAGCCGCGGUAAUACGUAGGGUGCAAGCGUUAAUCGGAAUUACUGGGCGUAAAGGUGUGCGCAGGCGGUUCGGAAAGAAAGAUGUGAAAUCCCAGAGCUUAACUUUGGAACUGCAUUUUUAACUACCGAGCUAGAGUGUGUCAGAGGGAGGUGGAAUUCCGCGUAGCAGUGAAAUGCGCAGAUAUGCGGAGGAACACCGAUGGCGGGCAGCCUCCUGGGAUAACACUGACGCUCAUGCACGAAAGCGUGGGGAGCAAACAGGAUUAGAUACCCUGGUAGUCCACGCCCUAAACGAUGUCAACUAGCUGUUGGGCCUUCGCCCGGUAGCGCAGCUAACGCAUGAAGUUGACCGCCUGGGGAGUACGGUCGCAAGAUUAAAACUCAAAGGAAUUGACGGGGACUCGCACAAGCGGUGGAUGAUGUGGAUUAAUUCCGAUGCAACGCGAAACCCACUACCCUUGACAUGUCUGGAAUCCCGAAGAGAUUUGGGAGUGCUCGCAAGAGAACCGAACACAGGUGCUGCAUGGCUGUCGUCAGCUCGUGUCGAGAUGUUGGGUUAAGUCCCGCAACGAGCGCAACCCUUGUCAUUAGUUGCUACGAAAGGGCACUCUAAUGAGACUGCCGGUGACAAACCGAGGAAGGUGGGGAUGACGUCAAGUCCUCAUGGCCCCCAGGUAGGGUUUGCCGACGUCAUACAAUGGUCGGGACAGAGGGUCGCCAACCCGCGAGGGGGAGCCAAUCCCAGAAACCCGAUCGUAGUCCGGAUCGCAGUCUGCAACUCAUCUGCGUGAAGUCGGAAUCGCUAGUAAUCGCGGAUCAGCAUGUCGCGGUGAAUACGUUCCCGGGUCUUGUACACACCGCCCGUCACACCAUGGAGUGGGUUUUACCAGAAGUAGUUAGCCUGUUCCGGGUAAGGAGGGCGAUUACCACGGUAGGACCUGCGACUGGGGGUCGUAACAAGGUAG